rnacentral:rRNA from 1 species
CGCCCUUAGAGUUUGAUCAUGGCUCAGGACGAACGCUGGCGGCGUGCCUAAUACAUGCAAGUCGAACGCAGCUUGCUUUGGUAAGAUGAGUGGCGAACGGGUGAGUAACACGUGGGUAACCUGCCUAUCAGAGGGGGAUAACACUUGGAAACAGGUGCUAAUACCGCAUAGAUUUCUUUCGCAUGAAAAGAGAGGAAAGACGUACGUGUCACUGAUAGAUGGACCCGCGGUGCAUUAGCUAGUUGGUGAGGUAACGGCUCACCAAGGCCAUGAUGCAUAGCCGACCUGAGAGGGUGAUCGGCCACACUGGGACUGAGACACGGCCCAGACUCCUACGGGAGGCAGCAGUAGGGAAUCUUCGGCAAUGGACGAAAGUCUGACCGAGCAACGCCGCGCGAGUGAAGAAGGUUUUCGGAUCGUAAAACUCUGUUGUUAGAGAAGAAUAGGUAGGGAUGACUUCCUGCCAUGACGGUAUCUAACCAGAAAGCCACGGCUAACUACGUGCCAGCAGCCGCGGUAAUACGUAGGUGGCAAGCGUUGUCCGGAUUUAUUGGGCUUAAAGC